GUCAUAUAUCUAAAACUGAUAACAGUAUUUCCAAUGAUAAAAAUCAACAAAGAUAUUACUGCCAAUGUUGUCAACAUUCUUUCUUUUUCCUCUUCCUGAAGCAGUCUCUUCCCGUGAAACUGAUUGUGCCUCACUUAUCCAUUGUCCUUUGAUGAAUUUCAGUUGCAGAUCUCUUUCUAGAAAAUGACAGUUUCAGUCACUCAAUAUGAAGUUCUUGGAACAGUUAAGAUGACAUGGGUCAUGAAUUCGGAAAGGGAAUUAUGAGAAACCAACGCAGGAGAGAGAAUACCCUUUCCAUGUGCUACAGAGAACUCUCACUGUCAUGGCGCAAGGGAAAAUAACCAUUGGAGAUCUUGAAAAGUCGAUAUCUGGAAGGAAGAAGACAUUCAGCCCUGCAGCUUGCCUGGGGUUAACCGCAUACAUUUUCAAACUAGUUCAUAGAAGAGUUCCCCCAGCAUUGGGGAAAACAUUUACUAAUGGUACUGAAAGCUUAUAGCUAGGAGGCCGUUCCUUAACAUCCAAUAAAAAGACAGACAACACGAAAGUGUGAUCUUAGAACUGUUUCUUUUGUUAUCUCUACCCAGGAGUUGUUAACAAUACAGGUAAGUGGUAAAAGACACAUACUCAGAUGA